rnacentral:lncRNA from 1 species
GAGCUGCCGGUGGUCGGCGGCGCCGGCGUGCUCCGCGGCGCCGCCGGGUACGGCCUCCUCAGGACGCACUCCUUCAACGCCACCACCAACAACGCCGUCCUGCAGAUCGACUUGUACCUCAGCGUGUAGAAGAUCGACUACAAGUUCUUGCACACGAUCUUAAUUGCGCUUACCGUGUACUUACCGACUACAAGUUACUCAAAGGUGUUGAUUCCAUAUAUUUUCAUUCCACGGAGGAGGAAGAAUUUGUCGGUUUUAAAUGAAUUAGCACAUAUGAGUCAAUA